GUGCCAGCAGCCGCGGUAAUACGUAGGGAGCAAGCGUUGUCCGGAUUCACUGGGUGUAAAGGGUGCGUAGGCGGGAGAAUAAGUCAGCGGUGAAAUCUUACGGCUCAACCGUGAAACUGCCGUUGAUACUGUUUUUCUUGAGUUCGGGAGAGGUUGAUGGAAUUCCAGGUGUAGCGGUGAAAUGCGUAGAUAUCUGGAAGAACACCAGUGGCGAAGGCGGUCAACUGGCCCGAAACUGACGCUGAGGCACGAAAGCGUGGGUAGCGAACAGGAUUAGAUACCCUGGUAGUCC
rnacentral:rRNA from 1 species